UGGUCAAGUUAUUAAGGGUGCAGGGCGGAUGCCUUGGCACUAGGAGCCGAUGAAGGACGUGAUAAGCUGCGAUAAGCUUCGGGGAGUUGCACGUAAACUUUGAUCCGAAGAUUUCCGAAUGAGGAAACUCACUUAGAGUAAUGUCUAAGUAUCAUUAAGUGAAUACAUA
rnacentral:rRNA from 1 species